UACGGAGGGGGCUAGCGUUGUUCGGAAUUACUGGGCGUAAAGCGCACGUAGGCGGCUUUGUAAGUUAGAGGUGAAAGCCCAGGGCUUAACCCUGGAAUUGCCUUUAAGACUGCAUCGCUAGAAUCGUGGAGAGGUGAGUGGAAUUCCGAGUGUAGAGGUGAAAUUCGUAGAUUUUCGGAAGAACACCAGUGGCGAAGGCGACUCACUGGACACGUAUUGACGCUGAGGUGCGAAAGCGUGGGGAGCAAACAGG
rnacentral:rRNA from 1 species